rnacentral:rRNA from 1 species
AGGACGAACGCUGGCGGCGUGCUUAACACAUGCAAGUCGAGCGGUGAUCCUCCUUCGGGAGGUGAUCAGCGGCGAACGGGUGAGCAACACGUGGGCAACCUGCCCCUCACACUGGGAUAAACCUCGGGAAACCGGGGCUAAUACCGGAUACGACCUCGAGCGGCAUCUCUUGAGGUGGAAAGCUCCGACGGUGAGGGAUGGGCCCGCGGCCUAUCAGCUUGUUGGUGGGGUAAUGGCCUACCAAGGCGACGACGGGUA